rnacentral:rRNA from 1 species
UACGGGGGGGGGCAAGCGUUGUUCGGAAUUACUGGGCGUAAAGGGCUCGUAGGCGGCCAACUAAGUCAGACGUGAAAUCCCUCGGCUUAACCGGGGAACUGCGUCUGAUACUGGAUGGCUUGAGUUCGGGAGAGGGAUGUGGAAUUCCAGGUGUAGCGGUGAAAUGCGUAGAUAUUGGGAGGAACACCAGUGGCGAAGGCGGCUCACUGGACCGGUUCUGACGCUGAGGCGCGAAAGCGUGGGGAGCAAACGGG